UACAGAGGUCCCGAGCGUUGUUCGGAUUCAUUGGGCGUAAAGGGUGCGUAGGCGGCGGGGCAAGUCUGAUGUGAAAUCCUGGGGCUCAACCCUGGAACUGCAUUGGAUACUGCCUUGCUAGAGUACUGGAGAGGAAACUGGAAUUUACGGUGUAGCAGUGAAAUGCGUAGAGAUCGUAGGGAAGACCAGUGGCGAAGGCGAGUUUCUGGACAGUUACUGACGCUGAGGCACGAAGGCCAGGGGAGCAAACGGG
rnacentral:rRNA from 1 species